CUUCACCGAGCCCAACCACAACGGCCGCUCCGCCGGACGAUCCCGACCAUAAGUCGCCAACAACGCCUGCGCCUC
rfam:Actinoalloteichus sp. GBA129-24, complete genome.